UGCUCUUACUGAAUUGUUGUGAUUUGCUAAGCCUGUGAUCAGCAAAAUGAUAGAAUGGAAACCUUUCCAAACAGCAUCGAUUACAAAUAAUCAUGACUUGGGUGGAAGCCUAUAGAUGUGCUGUCCUCUGAGGCAACCUGGAGUCAUGAAAACGACACUCCUAAAAUAACUUAUCAAAUACUAUUACAUGUUAUGAACAGAAUCUUAACACUAUCUGCUUUCAGAAAAUGAGUUUUGAUACUGACACUUCAGAGGGGCUUUCCUGCUGCUUUGCUCUGCUCAAAAGAUGAAGCCUUCUCACACUUGGUACUGAAUUUGUGCAAGAGUGCUGUCUGUGUACAUGAUGAGGUUG
rnacentral:lncRNA from 1 species